rnacentral:rRNA from 1 species
ACUGCUCAGUAACACGUGGACAACCUACCCUUAGGACGGGGAUAAACCCGGGAAACUGGGUAUAAUACCCGAUAGAUCUCGGCUGCUGGAAUGCAUCGAGAUCUAAAGCUCCGGCGCCUAAGGAUGGGUCUGCGGCCUAUCAGGUAGUAGUGGGUGUAGUGUACCUGCUAGCCUACGACGGGUACGGGUUGUGAGAGCAAGAGCCCGGAGAUGGAUUCUGAGACACGAAUCCAGGCCCUACGGGGUGCAGCAGGCGCGAAAACUUUACAAUGCUGGCAACAGCGAUAAGGGGACCUCGAGUGCCAGGUUACAAAUCUGGCUGUCGUGAUGCCUAAAAAGCAUUGCAUAGCAAGGGCCGGGCAAGACCGGUGCCAGCCGCCGCGGUAACACCGGCGGCUCGAGUGGUAACCGUUAUUAUUGGGUCUAAAGGGUCUGUAGCCGGCCGGAUAAGUCUCUUGGGAAAUCUGGCAGCUUAACUGUCAGGCUUUCAGGAGAUACUGUCUGGCUCGAGGCCGGGAGAGGUGAGAGGUACUUCAGGGGUAGGGGUGAAAUCUUGUAAUCCUUGAAGGACCACCAGUGGCGAAGGCGUCUCACCAGAACGGACCUGACGGCAAGGGACGAAAGCUAGGGGCACGAACCGGAUUAGAUACCCGGGUAGUCCUAGCCGUAAACGAUACUCGCUAGGUGUCGGCCACGGUGCGACCGUUGUCGGUGCCGUAGGGAAGCCGUGAAGCGAGCCACCUGGGAAGUACGGCCGCAAGGCUGAAACUUAAAGGAAUUGGCGGGGGAGCA